UGGGGCGUAGCCAAGUGGUAAGGCAACGGGCUUUGGUCCCGUCAUUCGUUGGUUCGAAUCCAGCCGCCUCAGCCA
rnacentral:tRNA from 1 species